GAGCUACAGACCCAGCCUGAUGUUGGCAAAUAGCAAAUUAUUUAUUUUAUUUCAGUAUUUCAGUGUGGAGUCAAUUGAGGGGACUAGCCUAUAUUUCAUGAAGCCAUUAGAAGACUGUUGCUGACUGAGAGGAGCCUGGCAGUAUCCCAGAACUAUCAGAGGCAGAGGAUCUCUCUUUCGGCUGCUGCUGACAUCAACUGCAUCAGGAGCUGGGACCUGUGGCAGGAGCUGGGACCUGUGGCAGGAGCUGGGACCUGUGGCAGGAGCUGGGACCUGUGGCAGGAGUUGGGAGCUGUGGCAGGAGAUGGGACCUGUGGCAGGCUGCUGGGUUCACAUCCUCAAAAUAUUCCCUUUCUGUUGGGACCUUGAGUAAGGCCCUUAACCCCACAACAUGCUCUUAAACCAGGGGCAUGGCAUGCAUCUUGAACCUGUACUUGUCUCAACUGUAUGUGUGAGGUCUGCUGUUUGGGAGGGGGGUUGAGAACAGAGAAGAAGACCCAUUUCUGUUGACACUGUAACCAAUGGACAAAGUAUUGUAUUGUAUUGUAUUCUAAAGAAGUCAGCCAGAGUUGACGUGGGCCAUCAUUCAAACAAAGAGAUGCCUCGCUAGCCACCAGCGCAUAUUUCCAAACUAUGUUUGCAUAUAAUUACAAUAAAUGCUUAAAACUAUGCUGGUAUUAUUUUGUCCAUUAUUUAAUUGUUUAUUAAAUUAUAUUCUUAGAUCAAAAUAUUACGAUUUAA